rnacentral:rRNA from 1 species
AUACGGAGGAUCCGAGCGUUAUCCGGAUUUAUUGGGUUUAAAGGGAGCGUAGGCGGACGCUUAAGUCAGAUGUGAAAGUUUGCGGCUCAACCGUAAAAUUGCAGUUGAUACUGGGUGUCUUGAGUACAGUAGAGGCAGGCGGGAUUCGUGGGGUAGCGGUGAAAUGCUUAGAUAUCACGAAGAACUCCGAUUGCGAAGGCAGCUUGCUGGACUGUAACUGACGCUGAUGCUCGAAAGUGUGGGUAUCAAACAGGAUUAGAUACCCUGGUAGUCCACACAGUAAACGAUGAAUACUCGCUGUUUGCGAUAUACAGUAAGCGGCCAAGCGAAAGCGUUAAGUAUUCCACCUGGGGAGUACGCCGGCAACGGUGAAACUCAAAUGAAUUGACGGGG